rnacentral:lncRNA from 1 species
AGUACAGUUAUUUCUUUCCUUGUGUGCUCAGAGCUGCUGCCUUCAUUUCAGAGAGUCAGGUUUUUUUCUUGAAAUGGAGAUGAGACAUACAAGUUAUCACUGGUCUCUGAGGCUUUGCCUUUCCCACUACUGCUAAAUUUUGAAAAAAUAAGAGUUUCAACCACUGUCAAUUAGAAUGACAAGCUCAAACUUUAUGUCAUGACUAGCCCUGAGCUAACAUCCACUGCCAAUCCUCCUCCUUUUGCUGAGGAAGGUUGGCCCUGAGCUAACAUCCGUGCCCAUCUUCCUCUACUUUAUAUGUGGGACGCCUACCACAGCAUGGCGUGCCAAGCGGUGCCAUAGGUCUACGCCCAGGAUUCGAACUGGCGAACCCCAGGCCACUGAAGUGGAACUUGAGAAUUUAACUGCUGAGCCACCAGAUUUUAUUUUUUUCCUUUUUCUCCCCAAAGCCCCCCGGUACAUAGUUGUGUAUUCUUCGUUGUGGGUCCUUCUAGUUGUGGCAUGCGGGACGCCGCCUCAGCGUGGUUUGAUGAGCAGUGCCAUGUCCGCGCCCAGGAUUCGAACCAACAAAACACUGGGCCGCCUGCAGCGGAGCGCGCGAACUUAACCACUCGGCCACGGGGCCAGCCCCAAG